rnacentral:rRNA from 1 species
UUUUUUGAAUUUAAGAAUUUUUUUAAAGAUUUUUUUUAUAUAGGUUUUUUUAUAAAUAUUGUAAUAAGAAUAAUAAUUUUUAUUUAAACCGUAAGGGAAUAAUUGAAAAAUUUGAAAAAUUUAUAAUUAAAAAAGAAUUUUUUUUUUAGUACCUUUUGCAUCAGGGUUGUUUAAAAAAAAAUAAAAAUUUUAUUUUUCCCGAAAUAGCUUUGAGUUAUAUAAAAUUAAAUAUAAUUUGUUUUAAAAAAUUAAAUAAAUUUUAUAUAGAAAUGAAAUGUUUUCCAAAAUCUAUGAUAUCUGGUUAUAAAUAAUAAAACUAAAUGUUUAUCUAUAAUUUUAAAAAAAAAAUAUUUUUGGUUUAUAGAAAUUUAAAUUAGGGAUUAGCUUAAUUUAAAACUUAAAUAUUAAAUAAUAAUUUAAUUAUGAAAGGAAUAAUAUUGUCUAAAUUUUUUUAUAAAAGAGUUUUUUUAAAAAAAAAAAUAUUUAAAUUAAGUUAAAUUUAUAAUAUAUUUAAUUUGGAAAUAUAAAAAAUUAUUAAUAAAUUAGUAUAAAAGUUUAAAUUUUUUUAAAUUUAAUAUUUUUACAAUUAAAAUAAUAAUAAUAAAAAGGAAUUCGGCAAUUAAAAUAAGUUGACUGUUUAUCAAAAACAUUUCAUUUUUGUUUUUAUAAAAUGUAUAAUCUGCUCAAUGAUAAUAAUUUAAUUGCUGUGGUAUUUUGACUAUACGAAGGUAUUGAAAUAAGACUUUUAAUGAGUGCUAAGAGAAUGGUUGUACAAUUUGUUACUGUCUUUUUAUUAAAAAUAAAAGUUAAUUUUUUUGUGCAAAAGCAAAAAUUUUUUUGAGGGACAAGAAGACCCUAUGAAUUUUUAAUUGUUUUCUUUAAAUAUAUUUAAAGAAAACAAUUUAAUUGGGGCGAUUAAAAAAGAUUAAAUAUCUUUUAUUAUUUAAAAUUAAAUUGAGCCAUUCAUUAAUGAUAAUUUGAAUAAAAUACUCUAGGGAUAACAGCGUUAUAAUUUUGGAUAGCACAUAUUGAUAAAAUUGUUUGCGACCUCGAUGUUGGAUUAGGAUACUUUUUAUAAUGAAGAAAUUUAAUAAAGAAGUUUGUUCAACUUUUAAAAUCCUACAUGAUCUGAGUUCAGACCGGCGUAAGCCAGGUUGGUUUCUAUCUUUAAAUAUUAAUUUCUUUAAUUAGUACGAAAGGAAUAUUGAAGAAUAAUUUUUUAUAAAAAAAAUUUAUAGUAAGAUAAAAAUAAUUUUAUAACGUUUUUGUCUCAAAAAAAGAAAA